rnacentral:lncRNA from 1 species
AACACCUUAGGCUGGUGGGGCUGCGGCGAGAAGCGGGUCUGUUUCUUUACUUCCUCCACGGAGUCGGCACACUACGGCUGCCCUCUGGGCUCCCAGAACCCACAACAUGAAAGCUUGGAAAGGAAUAUGCUGCACUUUACAACCACUGCACUACCUGACUCAGGAAUCGGCUCUGGAAGGUGAAGCUAGAGGAACGAGACCUCAUCAACCCAACACCAAAGACACCAUCGGAACAGCAGCGCCCGCAGCACCCACCCCCCACCGGCAACUCCAUCUUCAUGGCCACCCCCUGCGGCGGACGGUUGACCACCAGCCACCACGUCAUCCCAGAGCUGAGCUCCUCCAGCGGGAUGACCCCGUCCCCACCACCUCCCUCUUCUUCUUUUUCAUCCUUCUGUCUCUUUGUUUCUGAGCUUUCCUGUCUUUCCUUUUUCUGAGAGAUUCAAAGCCUCCACGACUCUGUUUCCCCCGUCCCUUCUGAAUUUAAUUUGCACUAAGUCAUUUGCACUGGUUGGAGUUGUGGAGACGGCCUUGAGUCUCGGUGUGAGUGUGCGUGAGUGUGAGCCACCUUGGCAAGUGCCCGCCCAGAGACCGGCCGCCCUCCAUCUGGGCCGGGUGACUGGGCGCCGGCUGUGUGCCCGAGGCCUCACCCUGCCCUCGCCUAGUCUGGAAGCUCCGACCGACAUCACGGAGCAGCCUUCAAGCAUUCCAUUACGCCCCAUCUCGCUCUGUGCCCCUCCCCACCAGGGCUUCAGCAGGAGCCCUGGACUCAUCAUCAAUAAACACUGUUACAGCAA